rnacentral:rRNA from 1 species
AGCUCCAAGAGCGUAUAUUAAAGUUGUUGCAGUUAAAAAGCUCGUAGUUGGAUUUCUGGUACAACGCGCCUGGCCCGCUUUUGUGAGUGCCGGUGCGCGUUUGCCAUCCUUCUAGAAAACGUUUCUACCCGGGUAACUGGGCUGGAUUCACGAUCUAGAUCUUUUACUUUGAAAAAAUUAGAGUGUUUAAAGCAGGCUUUUGCUGUGAAUACAUUAGCAUGGAAUAAUAAUCUAGGACUUCGGUUCUAUUUUGUUGGUUUCUAGUACUGAAGUAAUGAUUGAUAGGGAUAGUUGGGGGUGCUAGUAUUGGCCGGCCAGAGGUGAAAUUCUUGGAUUCGGUCAAGACUAACUUAUGCGAAAGCAUUCACCAAGGAUGUCUUCUUUA